rnacentral:tRNA from 1 species
GUUUCUGUAGUGUAGUGGUUAUCACGUUUGCCUAACACACGCAAGGUCCUCGGUUCAAACCGAGCAGAAACA